rnacentral:lncRNA from 1 species
ACUGCCCUGAGAGGACCUCCCACCCUCGCGCGCGCGGGGACCCGCUAGCACCGCCGCGCGCUGCUCCAUCCAACCCACGCCUGCGGUUCUCCUCCUCAGCCGUGGGGACCGACCCUCCAGUCAAGCCUCGAGCUGGAAUCUAAGGGAAACCGCGCAGAUCCUCGUUCCCUUCCUUCCUGGCCACCUGCGGGGUCUUGACACGCAUGCCCAAGGUGGCAUGUGGCCCUCGACUGCAGCCCCUCCAUGCAGGUUCUGGGAAUUGAACUCUGGUUCUUUGGAAGAGCAACAAGUGUCUUAACCGCUGAGCCAUGGUCAUCGGCACUGUUGUAUUGCUGUGAAGAGACACCAUGACCAAGGCAAACUUUAAGUGGAAGUUCACAUGCUAGGCUUGGAACGCUUCGUUUGUCUCAAGUCUUCAUCUUUGCUGCCUUCACUUCAUUGAGAGAGGCACAACAGAGAACGUCUCCUGUUGUCUGGAAUGGCCCUGGUUGAUGCUGCUGUCUUGUGCCGAUUUGGUGGAGGCCUGGCGGUUUCUUGCUGCAGAUUCCUGUUUGCUAUCCUGACACUACUCUGCUGGACUGCGGGAAUCCUGACAACAGAGAUUGGAAUCACCUGAAAGAGCUACUUCUAAACAGGUCCACAUCCCCUUGUGCUAUUUACCAUCUUUUCUCUCCUACCUUUAUUUGUUUUUCUUUCUUCUUCUUCUUCCAUUUUUUGUUUGUUUGUUUGUUUUUUUGAAGACAGGGUUUCUCUAUAUAGCUUUGGCUGUCCUGGAACUCACUCUCUAGACCAGGCUGGCCUCGAACUCAGAAAUCCACCUGCUUCUGCCUCCCAAGUGCUGGGAAGUGGUGGGAUUAAAGGAGUGGGCCACCAUUGCCGGGCUUAAUUAAUUCAUCAUCAUCAUCACCAUUAUCAUCAUCAUUAUUUUUUUUAAAGAUUUAUUUAUUUAUUAUAUGUAAGUACACUGUAGCUGUCUUCAGACACUCCAGAAGAGGUCAUCAGAUUUCGUUACGGUGGUUGUGAGCCACCAUGUGGUUGCUGGGAUUUGAACUCGGGACCUUCGGAAGAGCAGUUGGCGCUCUUAACCACUGAGCCAUCUCGCCAGCCCUAUCAUCAUCAUUAUUUUGAAAUGGUCUUACUACUAUACUACUACGUAACCUUGGCUGGCCAGAAACUCACUCCAUAGACCAGGCUGGGUUGAGUUUGCAGAGAUUCGCCUGCCUCUCUGAAUGGUGUGAUUAAAGGUAUGGGUUAUUAUUAUU